GAAAAUGUUAAGAUGAAAGAAAGCAAAUUGAAUAACAGUCUCAACUUGAAAAGAAAUAAAAAACUAGUAGAGUCAUAAAAAAGGAAAUGCUAAGAUGAACAUAUGUAGUUUGCUUUAGUUAAGUACAAUCUUUUGAAAUAAAUCGAGGUGCGUUGUGCCAAAUGAAAAUGACAAAUGCAUGGGCCUCGUGUUAUUAGAUGUAAAAUUGAUUAAUAUUCGUAGCAAGCCUUUAGGGCCGUUUAAAAUACAAUUGUUGAGUGCAUGUACCUUUUAGGAACAUCAAUGGUGAUGUUAGAUAGAGUUUCAACUAGCUAGAUAUUGCAUUAGCGUAUACUAUAUUUUCCGUUCUUUCUCAUUGCUCU
rnacentral:lncRNA from 1 species